UUCGCAACUGGCUGGCAAGCUGAGGUUUGACAUUCUUAAGGAUCAUCUUGACAAUCUCACUCUCUGUUAGGUCUGGCUUCCACCUUUUACAAAGAGCUCUAUAGGUGAAUGCAAAAUCUCUAAUAGUCUCGUUGUCUCCUUGAAUCCUGGUACGUACCCGCUCAGCCAGUUCAUCUUGGUAGUCUUCUGAAAGAAAUGCAGAGAGAAAGGCAGCCUCAAACUCACUCCAGGAUGUGAUGUUGGAGCGGCUCACUUCCCACCAAUCACGAGCUGUGCCAUAUAAUACAGUACGGAAGGUAGCCAUUAUGUCCACAUCUGAUAGUGGGUGUAGGGCUAAAAAGUCUUGGCAUUUUGUUAAGUAAAGUAAUGGAUCCUCAUCAUCCGUAGACCUACCAAAUGUUGGAAAAGUUAAUUUUAUGUGAUCACUUUUAAUCAUAGGUGCCGAAGGAGAAGGGAGUAAUGUGUCUGCUGGUAGAGGAGGGGAAGUGGAACUAGUUUUGGAGACUUGGGUUGCUACACUCAGGUAUUCUUUGGCUUGAUUUUCCAUCUUAAAAUGUUUAAAUCCAUCCUCUACUUCGUGUUGUAAGUCCUUAAAACAUGUAUACAGUUUGUCAGUGUUUUUCACACAUUGAUGCAGUUCUUUAGUUAGGUGAUCGUUGCUUUGCUGAAGGGUGUGUUGAAUAGCCUUAAGGUCCUGUUGAACUUCCAGCUGGAGUUGUUCGACCAUGAAGCGCACUUCAGACACUAAGUUGUAGUUAUAUAGGUGACAACCUGCUUAUGGUCUGCAUCCAUUUUUGCAACAAGAUCAGCAAUUUGGCCUUUGUGAUGUGUAGACGUUUUCUCUAUCCCCUGGGAGUUGGGAGAACACCAGGCAAUUCCUGAUGGGUGAAAGUAGAUUCAGGGGAUGGUUCAGGUGAUGUGCACAACUGCAUGAAAUCUGGUUCCUGCUCCCAAGUGAGGGUUGGCACUGGUGGGCUGUUAGCUAGCACAGAGGUGGAGGUUUGCACAUGGGUCCUUGGACAUAUUGUACUGGACAUUUUGGAAAUGUCAGGACAAGGGGCAUAAUGAAAUGAUCCACAUGGAGGAUGUGGAUAUGAGGGAAGGGGCCAGCUAGGAGUUGCAAUGUCUGGGGCAUCAAUUUCCACAAAAGUGGAUUGUGGGGAAGGGGAUGUGGCCAUGUUUUAUAU